CCCCCAGACUCCUACGGGAGGCAGCAGUGGGGGAUAUUGCACAAUGGGGGAAACCCUGAUGCAGCGACGCCGCGUGGGUGAAGAAGCGCCUCGGCGCGUAAAGCCCUGUCAGCAGGGAAGAAAAUGACGGUACCUGAAGAAGAAGCCCCGGCUAACUACGUGCCAGCAGCCGCGGUAAUACGUAGGGGGCAAGCGUUAUCCGGAUUUACUGGGUGUAAAGGGGGCGCAGACGGCGAUGCAAGCCAGGAGUGAAGGCCCGGGGCCCAACCCCGGGACUGCUCUUGGAACUGCGUGGCUGGAGUACAGUUGAGGUAGGCGGAAUUCGUGGUGUAGCGGUGAAAUGCUUAGAUAUCACGAAGAACUCCGAUUGCGAAGGCAGCUUACUAAACUGCCACUGACAUUGAUGCUCGAAAGUGUGGGUAUCAAACAGGAUUAGAUACCCGCGUAGUA
rnacentral:rRNA from 1 species